CUGGCGACCGGCGCACGGGUGAGUAACACGCAUCCAACCUGCCGAUAACUCGGGGAUAGCCUUUCGAAAGAAAGAUUAAUACCCGAUGGUAUAAUCAGACCGCAUGGUCUUGUUAUUAAAGAAUUUCGGUUAUCGAUGGGGAUGCGUUCCAUUAGGCAGUUGGUGAGGUAACGGCUCACCAAACCUUCGAUGGAUAGGGGUUCUGAGAGGAAGGUCCCCCACAUUGGAACUGAGACACGGUCCAA
rnacentral:rRNA from 1 species